rnacentral:lncRNA from 1 species
GAAGCUGCUGCCACAGUGACCCCAGAGGCUUGCUGUUGCCCGGAGUCAGGGCGCUCUUUCAGGACUCUCUCUGUGACCCUAUGCCCCUUUUACAUCAUUUCAGCAUACUCUCUGUGACUGCUAUGCCCCUUAUUACAUCAUUCAGGAUGAAUGGGAGCUGAAGGUACUUUGCUUGGACUUUCCUUGUACCAAUACGUGUGCAACUGAGCUACAGAGUCUCCCAGAGUCUCCAGACCGUACUUGGCUUUGAAUAUCUGAUCCACAUCCAUGCAGAAGACAUAGUCAACCUCAUGCUGGUCCGAUGGCGACUCAGAUCUACCCAUGGCAUAUAGGAGAAGUCGUCCAGCAUGAUGUAAAUGAUGACCUUCUGGUUGACCAUGAAGAACCUAUCGGCAGAUUCCAGGAAGUGACCCAAGUAGUACAAAAGGUAGUCUACAGAUCGUGGGACAGAAGAGGGGCUCUUUGAGAGAAGAAAUGAACAUUAGUGAGGCAGAAAUGCACCAAUGAACUUCUGGUGGUGUCUGGACAGCUUCCUGCAGCUUCUGGAGACUCAGGCUGAUUGGCAGAGCCUCGAGGUUUCUUCUGGAUGGAACUGCCAUUUCUAAUUCAUGAACGGUGCUUGCAAGUGGAUCAACCUCCUACUACUGGUUUGUGUGAACUGAACUGCUGCUAGCCUGACAAUUGCCCCAAAGAACUGCUUCUAACCAGGUCUACACCUUCUUUUGCCCUAUGAACCUUUCCUUUCCACUACCUCUGGUGGGUGAUGGGCUAGAAGGGAGGUUAAAAUUAAAGUAUCCUUAUUGAACAAGGUUGUGGGGAAAAGAAAAAGAUAAAAGUUGAAUAUCUCCAGAGUAAGCAGUAGGAAACCCCGUGCAUUCAGAGUGAGCUGUGAGAAACCCGGUGUACAGAGAGUGACCUGUGGGAAGCCUUGUAUACAGAGUAUGCUGUGGGAAAGUCUUGUGCAUACAGAGUAAGCUUGGCCGAGCUUCUCUGUGACUUCAUCCUAGUGACUCCGACUAGCAGGCCUCAUUGAAACCAAGUACUGAGACUUUCCAACUUUGACUCCAAAGACUUGUACAGUAAUAAAGGAAAUGGUUUUACAGAAAUUCGAGGUUUGAGGAGCACGGCAUGAAAGAGGAUAAUUACUAAGGCAGAAGUGACUUGGAUGGUCUACAGUUUUAAUGGCCAUCUGGGGCUCAGGAACACAGGAAGACUGGACUCCUGCUCACGGCUCCGUCCCUUAUGUUCAGACUGAUUGGUCACUCAGCUGGCACCAGU